UACAGAGGGGGCAAGCGUUGUUCGGAAUUACUGGGCGUAAAGGGCGCGUAGGCGGCCUAUUAAGUCGAACGUGAAAUCCCUGGGCUCAACCCAGGAACUGCGUCCGAUACUGGUGGGCUUGAAUUCGGGAGAGGGAUGCGGAAUUCCAGGUGUAGCGGUGAAAUGCGUAGAUAUCUGGAGGAACACCGGUGGCGAAGGCGGCAUCCUGGACCGACAUUGACGCUGAGGCGCGAAAGCUAGGGGAGCAAACGGG
rnacentral:rRNA from 1 species